rnacentral:rRNA from 1 species
UACGGAGGGGGCUAGCGUUGUUCGGAAUUACUGGGCGUAAAGCGCGCGUAGGCGGCUUUGCAAGUCAGAGGUGAAAGCCUGGAGCUCAACUCCAGAACUGCCUUUGAAACUGCAUCGCUAGAAUCAUGGAGAGGUUAGUGGAAUUCCGAGUGUAGAGGUGAAAUUCGUAGAUAUUCGGAAAAACACCAGUGGCGAAGGCGACUAACUGGACAUGUAUUGACGCUGAGGUGCGAAAGCGUGGGGAGCAAACAGG